GUCCACGCCCUAAACUAUGUCAACUAGUUGUCGGGAAAGCAAUUUCUUGGUAACGAAGCUAACGCGUGAAGUUGACCGCCUGGGGAGUACGGUCGCAAGAUUAAAACUCAAAGGAAUUGACGGGGCCCGCACAAGCGGUGGAUGAUGUGGAUUAAUUCGAUGCAACGCGAAAACCUUACCUACCCUUGACAUGCCCCGGGAGCCAGACGAGAGUUUGGUGUGCUCGAAAGAGAGCCGGGACACAGGUGCUGCAUGGCUGUCGU
rnacentral:rRNA from 1 species